UACGUAGGGGGCUAGCGUUGCUCGGAAUCACUGGGCGUAAAGCGCACGUAGGCGGCCUCUUAAGUCGGUGGUGAAAUCCUGGAGCUCAACUCCAGAACUGCCUUCGAUACUGCGAGGCUUGAGUCCGGGAGAGGUGAGUGGAACUGCGAGUGUAGAGGUGAAAUUCGUAGAUAUUCGCAAGAACACCGGUGGCGAAGGCGGUGGUCUGGGCCGGCACUGACGCUGAGGAGCGAAAGCGUGGGUAGCAAACAGG
rnacentral:rRNA from 1 species